UGGGGAAUUUUGCACAAUGGGGGAAACCCUGAUGCAGCGACGCCGCGUGAUUUAGAAGGCCUUCGGGUUGUAAAAAUCUUUUCUAUGGGAAGAAAAUGACAGUACCAUAGGAAUAAGGACCGGCUAAUUACGUGCCAGCAGCCGCGGUAAUACGUAAGGUCCGAGCGUUGUCCGGAAUCAUUGGGCGUAAAGGGUACGUAGGCGGGUAAGCAAGUUAGAAGUGAAAUCCUAUAGCUCAAAUAUAGUAAGCUUUUAAAACUGCUCAUCUUGAGGUAUGGAAGGGAAAGUGGAAUUCCUAGUGUAGCGGAGAAAUGCGCAGAUAUUAGGAGGAAUACCGGUGGCGAAGGCGACUUUCUGGCCAUAACCUGACGCUGAGGUACGAAAGCGUGGGUAGCAAACAGG
rnacentral:rRNA from 1 species